rnacentral:rRNA from 1 species
GAUGAACGCUGGCGGCGUGCCUAAUACAUGCCAGUCGAACGCUGAAGGAGGAGCUUGCUCUUCUGGAUGAGUUGCGAACGGGUGAGUAACGCGUAGGUAACCUGCCUGGUAGCGGGGGAUAACUAUUGGAAACGAUAGCUAAUACCGCAUGACAACAGUUAUUGCAUGAUAACUGUUUAAAAGGGGCAACUGCUCCACUACCAGAUGGACCUGCGUUGUAUUAGCUAGUUGGUGAGGUAACGGCUCACCAAGGCGACGAUACAUAGCCGACCUGAGAGGGUGAUCGGCCACCCUGGGACUGAGACACGGCCCAGACUCCUACGGGAGGCAGCAGUAGGGAAUCUUCGGCAAUGGACGGAAGUCUGACCGAGCAACGCCGCGUGAGUGAAGAAGGUUUUCGGAUCGUAAAGCUCUGUUGUAAGAGAAGAACGAGGGUGAGAGUGGAAAGUUCACACUGUGACGGUAUCUUACCAGAAAGGGACGGCUAACUACGUG